UGGUCUGAGAGGAUGAUCAGCCACACUGGAACUGAGACACGGUCCAGACUCCUACGGGAGGCAGCAGUGGGGAAUAUUGCACAAUGGGCGCAAGCCUGAUGCAGCCAUGCCGCGUGUGUGAAGAAAGCCUUCGGGUUGUAAAGCACUUUCAGUCGUGAGGAAGGCGGUGUCAKUAGUAUAGCUGCRUCRUUUGACGUWGCAACAGAAUAAGCACCGGCUACUCCNUGCCAGCAGCGGGUNUACGASGGUGCGAGCGUUAAUCGGAAUUACUGGGCGUAAAGCGCAUGCAGGUGGUUAGUUAAKUCAGAUGUGAAAGCCCGGGGSUCWACCYCGGAASUGCAUUUGAAACUGGCUGACUAGAGUACAGUAGAGGGGGGUAGAAUUUCRGGUGAAGCGGUGAAAUGCGURGAGAUCUGAAGGAAUAUCCGGUGGCGAAGGCGGCCCCCUGGACAGAUACUGACASUCAGAUGCGAAAGCGUGGGGRGCAAACAGGAUUAGAUAUCCUGGUAGUCCACKCCCGUAAACGAUGUCUACUUGGAGGUUGUGGCCCYGAGCCGUGGCUUUCGGAGCUAACGCGUUAAGUAGACCGCCWGGGGAGUACGGUCGCAAGAUUAAAACUCAAAUGAAUUGACGGGGGCCCGCACAAGCGGUGGAGCAUGUGGUUUAAUUCGAUGCAACGCGAAGAAC
rnacentral:rRNA from 1 species